rnacentral:tmRNA from 1 species
GGGGCUGUCACGGUUUCGACAGUAAUGUUUUGGUCAUAAUGGCAAGUCGGAGGUACACGUUACGUACAAACAGAAAAUAACUGGAAAAAAUAAAUUAAGUAACGUAUUCGGAGCUUUCGCUCCAACUUAUGCCUAAUUAGAAACGGCAAAUACGGCUCUUACUAUUUAUCUCCCAUGUGAAUAGAUAAGGGUGCGAUUUAAUGGGAUAUACUUUAUUCUUGCUUGGAGGAUAAAAUGAAUUUAACAAGCUCACUUAUUCAUAGGUUGUUCAUUCCUUUUAUGAAUAAGGAAUAAGAUGAAUGAACUAAACUUGUAGAAAUUAUGAUUGCGAUAUUAUUGGACAGCAGUUCAAUUCUGCUCAGCUCCACCA